GGGAACGGGGUGCGGAGGAGAGGGGAGCAUUUAUAGGGGGAGAGGAGGCCGAGGAGGAAGGAAAUAAAGGCUGCCAUGGAAAGUUCAGGUUCGCUGGGAGAAGGAAAUUCACGGGAGAACAGGGAAGCAAGGAAUAAGAAGAGGGAAGGAAAGAGAGAGAAGAAGAAAAAAGAAAGAAAAGGAAAGGAAAGGGGAAAAGAGAAAAAAA
rnacentral:lncRNA from 1 species